rnacentral:rRNA from 1 species
AGUGAACGCUGGCGGUAGGCCUAACACAUGCAAGUCGAACGGCAGCACAGGAGAGCUUGCUCUCUGGGUGGCGAGUGGCGGACGGGUGAGGAAUACAUCGGAAUCUACUCUGUCGUGGGAGAUAACGUAGGGAAACUUACGCUAAUACCGCAUACGACCUACGGGUGAAAGCAGGGGAUCUUCGGACCUUGCGCGAUUGAAUGAGCCGAUGUCGGAUUAGCUAGUUGGCGGGGUAAAGGCCCACCAAGGCGACGAUCCGUAGCUGGUCUGAGAGGAUGAUCAGCCACACUGGAACUGAGACACGGUCCAGACUCCUACGGGAGGCAGCAGAGGGGAAUAUUGGACAAUGGGCGCAAGCCUGAUCCAGCCAUACCGCGUGGGUGAAGAAGGCCUUCGGGUUGUAAAGCCCUUUUGUUGGGAAAGAAAUCCAGCUGGCUAAUACCCGGUUGGGAUGACGGUACCCAAAGAAUAGGCACCGGCUAACUUCGUGCCAGCAGCCGCGGUAA